AUGGCUGAGCAGGACAUUGGUGCAGCAGAGGAUGCUAUGUUCCAUGCAGACCUGCUUUUGGCUCAAAUGAAAGAAAAACAAAAUGAGAAAAGUACACCCCCUAACCGUGAAAGUAAAUUUCAGUGGAUUGAGAGAGAUUGUGAAGGUCGUCCACUGCUGAAAAGAAAGAGCAGAAGCGGAGAAACGCAUAUGCGUUCUUCAGCUACAGUCAUGAAUCCUUGUGAACCAGCUGAGGAGGUACCCAUGGUGACAGAACAAAACUUGUCUCAACACUUACUUGACAGUGAGAUGCAGAAACUGCAGGAGAUUCUGGCAACAACUGUUGAAGCUUCAGAUGGUCCUCCUUCAACAUCAUCAUCAUGGAGCUUGCGACAGUCUGCAGCCCAAGAUGAGUGGCAGAAAGCAAGGCCCUACCACCUGGACUGCUUGUUGUUCUCCAGGGUGGUCAAGGAAAAUAAAUGCAGUCAGUGCUCAUCUCCUGCCAUUAUUCGUUGCAGAGACUGCAUGCCAGAAGAGUGGCUGUGUAUGGAGUGUGAUAUAAUUUGCCACAAAAAACUGGUACUCCAUAACAGGGAGUCCUGCAUUGAUGGAUUUUACCGGCCCAUUCCGCCAACGGUGUGCUGCGUGAAAGAAAAUGGCAGAUAUACAUUAAAAAAUCAAGUUCGGCUGUUGCCUACAGUGAGACCUGACCGACUGUGCACCUGUGACCCAACAAACAUCACAGAAUCUGCUGGAAGAGCAACUAUUUUGGUUUGCAUAAAUGGUAGGUAG
ensembl:lncRNA